CUUGCAGGGUACUCGAGUGGCGAACGGGUGAGUAACACGUGGGUGAUCUGCCCUGCACUUCGGGAUAAGCUUGGGAAACUGGGUCUAAUACCGGAUAGGAACCAUCUUUAGUGUGGUGGUUGGAAAGUUUUUUCGGUGUAGGAUGAGCUCGCGGCCUAUCAGCUUGUUGGUGGGGUAAUGGCCUACCAAGGCGGCGACGGGUAGCCGGCCUGAGGGGGUGUACGGCCACAUUGGGACUGAGAUACGGCCCAG
rnacentral:rRNA from 1 species